rnacentral:rRNA from 1 species
GACGUAGGGGGCGAGCGUUGUCCGGAUUUACUGGGCGUAAAGCGCGUGUAGGUGGUUCGUUAAGUGGCGCGUGAAAGUUCGCAGCUCAACUGCGAAUCGUCGUGCCAUACUGGCGGGCUUGAGGGCAGCAGAGGAUGGUGGAAUUCCCGGUGUAGCGGUGAAAUGCGUAGAUAUCGGGAGGAACGCCAGUGGUGAAGACGGCCAUCUGGGCUGUCCCUGACGCUGAGACGCGAAAGCUAGGGUAGCGAACGGG